GACGAACGCUGGCGGCGUGCCUAAUACAUGCAAGUCGAGCGCAGGAAGCAGCUAGAUCCCUUCGGGGUGAUAGCUGUGGAAUGAGCGGCGGACGGGUGAGUAACACGUGGGCAACCUGCCUUCUAGACUGGGAUAACUCCGGGAAACCGGAGCUAAUACCGGAUAAUCAACGGGAUCGCAUGAUCCUGUUGUAAAAGUGGGGAUUUUAUCCUCACACUAGAAGAUGGGCCCGCGGCGCAUUAGCUAGUUGGUAAGGUAAGAGCUUACCAAGGCAACGAUGCGUAGCCGACCUGAGAGGGUGAUCGGCCACACUGGAACUGAGACACGGUCCAGACUCCUACGGGAGGCAGCAGUAGGGAAUCAUCCGCAAUGGACGAAAGUCUGACGGUGCAACGCCGCGUGAACGAUGAAGGUUUUCGGAUCGUAAAGUUCUGUUAUGAGGGAAGAACAAGUGCCGUUCWAAUAGGGCGGCACCUUGACGGUACCUCACGAGAAAGCCCCGGCUAACUACGUGCCAGCAGCCGCGGUAAUACGUAGGGGGCAAGCGUUGUCCGGAAUUAUUGGGCGUAAAGCGCGCGCAGGCGGUCUCUUAAGUCUGAUGUGAAAGCCCACGGCUCAACCGUGGAGGGUCAUUGGAAACUGGGGGACUUGAGUGUAGGAGAGGAAAGUGGAAUUCCACGUGUAGCGGUGAAAUGCGUAGAUAUGUGGAGGAACACCAGUGGCGAAGGCGACUUUCUGGCCUACAA
rnacentral:rRNA from 1 species